rnacentral:rRNA from 1 species
UACGAAGGGGGCUAGCGUUGCUCGGAAUCACUGGGCGUAAAGGGUGCGUAGGCGGACUUUUAAGUCAGGGGUGAAAUCCCGGGGCUCAACCCCGGAACUGCCUUUGAUACUAUUGGUCUUGAAUGUUGUGGAGGUGGGCGGAACGGGUCAUGUAGCGGUGAAAUGCAUAGAUAUGACCCGGAACACCGAUUGCGAAGGCAGCCCGCUACGCAACGAUUGACGCUGAGGCACGGAAAGCGUGGGGAUCAAACAGG